rfam:Camelus ferus unplaced genomic scaffold scaffold1500, whole genome shotgun sequence.
GGAGGUAUAGCUCAGUGGUAGAAUGUGUACUUAGCAUGCAUGGGGUCCUGGGUUCAAUCCCCAGUACCUCCA